UACGUGAGGGGCGAGCGUUGUUCGGAAUUACUGGGCGUAAAGGGCAUGUAGGCGGCCUUUUAAGUGGAGUGUUAAAAACCGUGGCUCAACUACGGAGAUGCGCUCCAAACUGGGAGGCUUGAAUCUGGUAGAAGAUAGUAGAAUGACCUGUGUAGCGGUGGAAUGCGUAGAUAUGGGUUAGAAUACCAAAGGCGAAGGCAGCUAUCUAUACCAAGAUUGACGCUGAGGUGCGAAAGCACGGGUAGCAAACAGG
rnacentral:rRNA from 1 species